rnacentral:lncRNA from 1 species
GCAUACACCCCCUAUCUCACAUAAAGAACACUUGUGAGGGGUGGUCUCAUCAAGCCAGGUGUUGAGGGUCAUAGAGGGGGCGGUCUCAUCAAGCCGGGUAUCGAGGGUCAUAGAGGAGAAGAUCUUUGGCGUCAAAGGCUCGGAUUGCUAUCGUUCUGCUCCACGAAUCAUGGAUUCCAAAUCAGAUACGCAAAUCUUUGUUUUCUCUCUCAAGACGUUUGAGUUUCU